GUCUCAAUCUGCACUUCACUCAAAGCCUCUGGAUAUGGGGCACUGGUCCCUGCUCAAAAAUAACUGAGCAGAAACGCCUUUCCACCUAAAAAAAACCCCCACGAAUGGCUCCCAGGGAAGAAAUAUAGCUCCCAUAAUUAAAGAAGGCAGCGGUCAGAAGGGAAUGCAGCCUGAAAGAGGGGAAAAAGCGAGUUUUACUUCUUUUCUGAUUGCACUUGGGGUGUCAUUACCAGCAGGUUUAUCCACACAAAGCACUCGUAGCAAAGAGUUGCGUGUACAUGGGAAAGAAAGCUCGAGCAAACGAAGACCAGAGGAGAAGGAAGAGGAAAGAUUAAGGAACACAGUCCAACUUCGAGAAAGAAACCCCUUUGAAGUCUUUUCUACAAGACAAGUAUUAGACAUAUCUAAAAGGUGAUACAAUUUCUGGCGGGAGCGGAAAACGAAGUUAUUCCUUUUUCUAACAAGGAAAAAAAAGCUUAUGCCCAGAGAGAACAUUCUUCACAUUUAGGAUACUCUUAAGACUGUUGCUUCCAGUCUAACCCUGGAUAACAAAGCUGAUGCUUUAGCGAGUAGGCUUUGUUAAGUGUUGCUUAAAACUUUCCCAGGCUCAAACUGAUUUUUAUUUUAUGGCAUUGCACGGAGAUGAAUGGACUAUUAGUUAAAAGGAAGAGGAACAAUUCAAGAAGCUCCCAGUUAGUUACUCUGGUACAAGCAAGAAGAUUCAAACUGGGAGAGAGAUCCUCCUGGAUCUGGAUGUGACAUACGUUUUGGUGGUAAAACGGGUUCCGCCUAUCCUCCUCCCCCCCC